CUCUAUUUACCUUUGGAACCUGUCAGUUGUGGCAUACUACCUUUGUAGCCAUGGAAGAGCUUUUUAUUUAUUGGAAAGGUUGUUAACCUUUGUAUAGCAGAGUCUGACUUGCACAUGUAACAUUC